UACGUAGGGUGCAAGCGUUAAUCGGAAUUACUGGUCGUAAAGCGUGCGCAGGCGGUGUUGUAAGUCUGUCGUGAAAGCCCCGGGCUCAACCUGGGAAUUGCGAUGGAGACUGCAAGGCUUGAAUCUGGCAGAGGGGGGUAGAAUUCCACGUGUAGCAGUGAAAUGCGUAGAGAUGUGGAGGAACACCGAUGGCGAAGGCAGCCCCCUGGGUCAAGAUUGACGCUCAUGCACGAAAGCGUGGGGAGCAAACAGG
rnacentral:rRNA from 1 species